UACAGAGGUCUCAAGCGUUGUUCGGAUUCAUUGGGCGUAAAGGGUGUGUAGGUGGCGCCGUAAGUCGGGUGUGAAAUUUCGGAGCUUAACUCCGAAACUGCAUCGAUACUGCGGUGCUUGAGGACUGGAGAGGAGACUGGAAUUCAUGGUGUAGCAGUGAAAUGCGUAGAGAUCAUGAGGAAGACCAGUGGCGAAGGCGGGUCUCUGGACAGUUCCUGACACUGAGACACGAAGGCCAGGGAGCAAACGGG
rnacentral:rRNA from 1 species